CACGUAGGUCAUUUGCCCCACCGUGGUGGAUAACCCUCCGAAAGGAGGGCUAAUACAGCAUGAGACCACGACCCUUCCUGGGGUUGCGGCCAAAGCAGGCCUCUUCAUGAAAGCUUGCGCGGUGGGAUGAGCCUGCGGCCCAUCAGUUAGUUGGUAGGGUAACGGCCUACCAAGACAAAGACGGGUAGCUGGUCUGAGAGGAUGAACAGCCACACUGGAACUGAGACACGGUCCAGAU
rnacentral:rRNA from 1 species